rnacentral:rRNA from 1 species
CCUACGGGUGGCAGCAGUGGGGAAUAUUGCACAAUGGGGGGAACCCUGAUGCAGCGACGCCGCGUGAGUGAAGAAGUAUUUCGGUAUGUAAAGCUCUAUCAGCAGGGAAGAAAAUGACGGUACCUGACUAAGAUGCACAGGCUAACUACGUGCCAGCAGCCGCGGUAAUACGUAGGGGGCAAGCGUUAUCCGGAUUUACUGGGUGUAAAGGGAGCGUAGACGGCAGAGCAAGUCUGAAGUGAAAGCACGCGGCACAAAUGCGAGAAUGCAUUGGAAAAUGGCCGGCUAGAGUGCUGGAGAGGUAAGCGGAAUUCCUGGUGUAGCGGUGAAAUGCGUAGAUAUUAGGAGGAACACCAGUGGCGAAGGCAGCUUACUGGACAGUAACUGACGUUGAGGCUCGAAAGCGUGGGGAGCAAACAGGAUUAGAUACCCCAGUAGUC